GGUAGGGCAGAUAUCAUGACCUUUUACAAGGGUUCCUUGAUUUGUGAGCGAAGCGGAGGAAGUUAACUUUAAAUCGGAGACCUGGCGCAAGCGUUUAAACGGAAUGGACACCACAAAGUAUAUCCGAAGUCCACGUGGUGGUGUUAAAUUGGAUGUCGGAUUAGGUCUACUACGCAGGAAAUUAAACGAAUUGUCUAACGAGCUUUGAAAAAGUUUUACCUCCAUCAAACUUCACUCCUAACGGCCAUUAAAAUCUUUUACGACUUUGGUCUACUGGAGACUAUGGUAGAAGGUAGUAAUACGACAUACCUCAAAAUAGUGCAUUGGAGGCAUAAAAGAAUCAAAAUACCUCAAAAUAGUGCAUUGGAGGCAUAGAAGAAUCAUGAGCAUAUUAGACACUUCCUAAUUCCAGCAGCGCAUAUUCAUGGUAAAAAUGUUUGGCCGGCUUAAAUGCUAAAUGGUUAACCCUUUAGCAUAUAAAUCGAGUUCCAGAUUAUCUUUGCAAUUUCGGCUGAUUAUACUCGAGAUUGCUCAAAUCUGGCCUGCCCCAAAGAAAAACUAAGCUAGGGGCAUUAGAUUCCUUGGAAGAAAGCAGCGAAUGUAUACCAAAACAAGGACGGAAAAAACGGAGAAAGUUAUAUAUAUAUAUAUGAGAUUUUUCCAUUACCUUUUAUUUCCUUAACAUGGGCAAUGCUGUCAUAACUCUGAUGAAUUUUUAAUUCCUUAUCAAUCAUAGGGGAAAAAAUACUGCAUAGAUUUAGAAACCUAGUGACAUGUUUAUUAUGAAAUAGCCAACUAUCUAAUUUCUUCUCGCAUAUGUAUGCACACACACACAGAUAUACACACACACAUACACACACACACAUAUGUGUGUGUGGUUUUGUGUGUGUGUGUAAGUAAAUACUUUUGUUAAACUAUUUGUCCCAAGACGGAAAAGAAAAGUGCAAUUCAAGAAAGAAUUAGAAGUGCAUUGGGAGAAGCGGUGUAUAAAAACAUCCAGUAUUUGCAGUUGAUAUUAUGGUUCAGCAUACACAAAUCUGCCAUAGGUCGAAGUUGAAAGCAGGAGAUUGAAAUAAAGAGAAGCAAUAGAAAUACACAAUGAACGCAACACGAAAUCUUAUCUGUGCAUAACUGAAAAGCUGGUAAUUCCCACCUUGCUCACCAAUAGCUUGAAUACGUGGAAUGAAAACUUCACGCCAUGCCUGCACACAACUUGUUGCCGCUCAGCUUCAAUAAGGAAAGCUUAUCCCGUGAAGUUUUCACCUGAACAGAGAAACUUUCACCAAUCAUUCCAGAUUAUUUUCAAGGAAUACCGAAUACCAGUUUCUAAUCUAACAUACUUCGUAUCUGUGCUUUCUACAAUAUAAAUUUAAGUCUCAUUUUGUUCUUUGUGGUGGAUA